rnacentral:lncRNA from 1 species
GCCUGGCGCCAGUAUGGGCCGUAUUGGGACCAACCGAUGUUGGAGUAGUUGUAGGCGGUCCACUUGCCGGCGGCGGUCUUGGGCCGGCCACAGAAGGUGACAUCAUGGGUCUUUAGGAUGAGCUUGGCCGUGUCGACGGAGGAGGCGACGAUGACCGGAAAGGAGCCGAAAUAAAGGUGCAUGAGGGGGCCGUACUUCUGCGAGAGAGCGUGAAGGGAGCGGUGGGGGAGGGAGCUGAUGAGGUUGAGGUUUCCGAUGACGGGAGUGAACCCCUUGACACCACGCCUCUCAAGCUUGACCUCCAAGUUGGGAUCGUCGGCAAGUAGCAGGAGAACAUCGACCAUGUCCUUGGUCACAAACUUCUCCCCCUCCCGUCGCCGCCUCUCGCCGUGUUCAUCAAGCACAUGCUCGAGGAACCUAUCGAACUUCUUGCCAAUCUUCUUCAUCCUCUUGAUGUAGCCUUGCAAGUCUAAGAAAUCCAGCCAUGGUAUCGAAUCUCCGAUGUUCAUGACGCCGUUAAGCAACAUGAACUCGUCGAGCAUCGCCUUGAACUCCACCGGCGACACAACUGAGCUCUCGGACUUGUCCAAAUACUUCUUCCCCAGCACCAUUCGGCUUAUUAUACUGAGACUGGCGUUUGAGAGGUGGUCGCUGAGGUUAACAGGCCUCCCUGAGGAGUUGAAGAGGUCCCGGAGGAGGUUCUUGACCUCCUCCACUCUUAUGUACUUAUAAGAGUCCAGCCUUCUCGCACUGAAGAGCUCCGUCAUGCACAUCUUGCGGGCCUGGCGCCAGUAUGGGCCGUAUUGGGACCAACCGAUGUUGGAGUAGUUGUAGGCGGUCCACUUGCCGGCGGCGGUCUUGGGCCGGCCACAGAAGGUGACAUCAUGGGUCUUUAGGAUGAGCUUGGCCGUGUCGACGGAGGAGGCGACGAUGACCGGAAAGGAGCCGAAAUAAAGGUGCAUGAGGGGGCCGUACUUCUGCGAGAGAGCGUGGAGGGAGCGGUGGGGGAGGGAGCUGAUGAGGUUGAGGUUUCCGAUGACGGGCAAUGGCUUUGGGCCGGGGGGCAGGUUUAGUUUACAGAGGCGCCGGCGCCGGCAGAAGAGGGAUUUGAGGAGGAGGAGGAGGAG